UUCAUGGAGUAGUUGAACUUAGAGGAUGAAGUCUUUGAUGAUCUGGUAAUCGAUGAGAACGACCCGGAGAUCAAUGAGAGCAUCAGGUGGCUAGCCCUAGCUAGGGUUCACACGGACAAAACCUUCAGCCCGACGGCCUUCUACAAGGACAUGCGGGCGGCGUGGAAUCCUGCUCAACAUGUGAACUUCCGCCCGGUUGGCCUGAACCUGUUCGUUGUUCAGGUUGCAUGCCUCGGCGACUGGGAACGGAUGAUCGAACAAGGUCCAUGGUUGUUCAGGAACUUUUUGGUUCUAAUGUGCCCCUAUGAUGGUUUCACGAAGGCAGAGGAGGUGCCUAUGGUGCAUAUGCCUGUCUGGCUCCAGAUUCACAAACUACCGGAGGGUUUCUGUAAGCAAAGCAUUGUGGAACAUCUGCUUAGGAAAUCUGGGAGGAUAUUGGAGGUGAGGUUAAACGGAAACACACGCGGGGACUAUGUGAGAAUCAGGAUGCGCCGUGAUGUGCGGCAGCCUCUCACCAAGUUCGUCAGUAUUGUAAGAGGAAAGGAGCGUCAGGUCUUCCUGGUGCGCUAUGAGAAACUAGCUCGAUUCUGCAGUGUAUGUGGCAUCAUAGGCCAUGAGUUCAAGGAAUGUGGUAACGGGAUCCAUGAGGAGAAGAGAAAGAAGUUUGGUGCGUGGCUAUAUGCUGAUGGACCUAAUAAGCCACGGCCGGAAAGUGCUAAUCGGGGGAAUGAGCAGAAGCAUGACUACACACCUAGCCGUGUGAACAAGCCACCAGCCCGUCAAAAACCGCCCACACACUCAUGCAAGUUGACCCAUCUGUGCGGAAGCGACUUGCGAUGGACGAGGCGGGUAUGGUUAGCAGGACUGGGAGCACCAUGGUCCCGCCUGGUGUUCUUAUGUUGA
rnacentral:rRNA from 1 species